rnacentral:rRNA from 1 species
UAGGGAAUAUUGGACAAUGGGCGCAAGCCUGAUCCAGCCAUGCCGCGUGAGUGAAGAAGGCCCUCGGGUUGUAAAGCUCUUUUGUCCGGAAAGAAAAGCAUCGGGUUAAUACCCCGGUGUUCUGACGGUACCGGAAGAAUAAGCACCGGCUAACUUCGUGCCAGCAGCCGCGGUAAUACGAAGGGUGCAAGCGUUACUCGGAAUUACUGGGCGUAAAGCGUGCGUAGGUGGUUCGUUAAGUCUGAUGUGAAAGCCAUGGGCUCAACCUGGGAAUGGCAUUGGAAACUGGCGGACUGGAGUGCGGUAGAGGGUAGCGGAAUUCCCGGUGUAGCAGUGAAAUGCGUAGAGAUCGGGAGGAACAUCCGUGGCGAAGGCGGCUACCUGGACCAGCACUGACACUGAGACACGAAAGCGUGGGGAGCAAACA